GAAGGCUGCAUCCGGCUCCAGGAAAAGCGAGGGGGAUAUCCCAGUCUUUCGACUGCAUCCUGAUUGCCUCUACUGUGGUCACCUUUGGAAAUGUCUUCUGUAAAAAGAACUCCGAAGCAAGAAAUAGUUACUCAGUUUCACUGUUCAGCUGCUGAAGGAGAUAUUGCCAAGUUAACAGGAAUACUCAGUCAUUCUCCAUCUCUUCUCAAUGAAACUUCUGAAAAUGGCUGGACUGCUUUAAUGUAUGCGGCAAGGAAUGGGCACCCAGAGAUUGUCCAAUUUCUGCUUGAGAAAGGGUAAACAUUUUAGGCUGUACCACCUGAAAGGGUUUGUGGUUUAAUUUCUUUGUUACAUAUUUACUUUAAAAUUUUGCUUGUUUCCAUAUUUAUAUUGUUGAACUACUAAAUCACUCAUUGGCUAAUUUAUGUAAAAAUGUAGCACAAUUUUUCUAACUUAAAACUUUGUAACCUUUUUCAUUGAGAAAUUAUUUAUUUAUAGCAAAGCAAAUUUAUGAGGAGUCUAAUUAUAAAUUUUUCUCCCAAACAGAAAAUGCAGAUCUCACUAUGACUACCAAGGACUUCUUGUAGAAUUUUGGUAUCUGUUUAUAGUGCAUAAAGCUUAAUACUGUUUUAUUUUGUGAGUAAUUAUCCAGAAAGUGUUAAGCAUCCACUGUCUCUUUUUGUCAUUUAUGAUUGUUCUUUUAACCUUCCCAAUAGUAAACUAUGUAACAAAAGAAAAAAAAUCUAUGUAAUCAUUAAAAAGAAGGACUUUAAUGUGCAUCUGGAAAUAUUUUAUUGAAAUAAAUACAGGAGAAAGUGUUUACUUCCUAUUUUACUUCGUCUCCCCAAUUUUUUCUUCCAUCUAUAGGUGUGACAGAUCAAUUGUCAAUAAAUCAAGGCAGACUGCACUGGAUAUUGCUGUAUUUUGGGGU
rnacentral:sRNA from 1 species